GGGGCGCGGAGGGGAGCGCGGGCCUGUGGCGGUGGCCCCGCCGCUGCCGUCGGGCUCACGGGGCUGCCAAGGGGCGACGGUGGGGACUGCGCGUCCGCGAGACCCUCGCCGGGAGAGGAUAAUUCCGUAACUAUUUCAGCGAGAGACUGGAAGAGAAGUAAGGGCUGCAGAAGUAAAAAACGCUAAUUCCUGUCGAAGAUCCCGCUGGAGCCCUGAUCGAGCACCCGUCCUGGAGCAGCUUUUGGCACUUUGUUUUUCAGCAGGACUUCUGAAUCUUAAACCGCAAGCUUCUAUAGUCUGAGUCAGAGAAACCAGACAGAUUGGCUGCUGGUAUCUAUAUUGCAGAAGCAGAUGUUCAAGAAAUUACUCAGGGACUUCAAAUGGUGUUUAAUUGGAAUCACCUGGAAAAAAUGGGCAACACUUGGAAAAUCUACUUGAUAGACAUCUGGGGAGGCUUCCUGAAACGCUACAGGUUUGAAGAUUACCCUUAUUUUCAUAGAGUGUAGGCAAGAGAAGAAUGCGAAUCGUUCUUGGCAACAACUUUUUAUAAGCACAGGCACAAUCAAAUCAUCCCAACUGGUGACCCUUCUGACAAGGAACUGCAGAAAUGGAGUUACUUUAUCCACUUAGAGUCUGACGUGUGUCCCACCGGGUUAUUUUGGGAUUUCUGAGGUGCAGGGCAGAGAGAAGUAAAUGUUUGCACAAUUCUGAAAAAAAUGAUGCUAAGGAAAGUUCUUAUGAAAAUAUUGCUUUAUUCUGGGAUCAUCUUGCAUUUAAAGCAGUACAAACUUCUAUUUCAAGAAGUUCCAUCUUGGUGACCUUUUUAAUUCAGAUCCAAAAAUCACCCUACAACUCUUUGACAAACCCUUACCAGGUAAGACCAGUCUAGGUAACAGGAGCCUUUCCCCAGCAGUAUACGCUGGCAUCACUCAUUUACUGUAGCUCCAAUUAAUGGUAGUAGAAGUUACACUUGUAAAUUCCCCCACGCAUUAAUGAGCGAGCAGACCCCCUCCGUUUAGUUAACCGUCUUCCAGUUACCUGGCACUUUCCCCAUCCCUUGUGAGAUCUCAAAUAUUUAAUUAAAGCCUUUCCUUUUUUUUUUUUCUUUUUUUUUUUUUCUCCCCCCACUCUCCUUCAUUCAGUUUGUUGAGUUGUAAUUCUUGUUGGCCUGAUGCCUUGGCAACAUUCAGCACUUCUAAUUGCCUGUAUAGUCUGGCCUAGUCAUGGAGCCUUUUAACUUUCAUUCAGGCUUCCAGCAAUAUCAGCCUCACUGGUCACAAGCUUCCCACUCAGGUUCCGUUCACAGCCCUUUCGCUGAUUGCUUGUUAUGUA